UGUGUGCAUUGUGGCAUCCCGCCCCGUAAACCUCGGCCCGGACCAGCCCGAGGGUUGGUCCUGGAUGGCCGAUACCACCGUCACCCACAGGCCGGCGACGGAGAGCACCGACUGAACCCCAAUCAGCUUGAUUGGGGGACACCUGGCCGAAAGCCGAGGAGCCAUUAUAUAAGGAGCACGAGGACUGACAUUUGGAAAGACCAGGAAGGGGACCGAGAGAGAAGGAAGCGCUCGGGUCUGCGAGCGGCUAGAGGCUCACGGAGGCCCUAGAGACUGCGACUUUAAUGGAUUGCCUUAAGUUGUAUGCAAUAGAUGCCGUGUACGGCUAUUUCCUCACUAACAAGCGUCAUUUGUACCUCGAACCUGGCUCAUUGGAGGAGCGGGUUGCCACAGCAUAUGGUCUUUCAUGGAUAUUUAACUGCAGUUCUGUGAGUAUCCAAACCUAACCAUGAAGAAGAACUGCAAACUGUAAGUCAUUAAUUUCUCAUUACUCUUGGGCACAUUGAUGUAUUUUGGCUUCCUGGUGUAGUAAGGAUGUUUUAUUGGUUCAUGGGUUACUUAGGUGUUUGGUUUAUGUUGGUUUUAAUGAUUUGUUAAAAUGGUUACCGUCUCCAAGUUAUUGUUGUAAGCUGGAGUAAUGGGUUGGGAUCUGAUAUCUUCAGUCUUCUUUCAUUCUACUCUCCUGAGCUCUGCAUCUUCAUCACAUGAGUGUUGCUUUACUGAUGAGGGUGUGGUCUGAGUGAGCAGAGGUGCAUACUGGGAAACAGAGCUGUCUGAAGUCUACAGGUCUGUAGACACGCCCCCUCAGGGGAAACCGAGUGUUUGAGAAACUGUCGUGACGUCAGUUACAUGGACUGGAAUGUUCUGAAAGAUGGAGACAGGGAUUGAGAAGGAGAAACACCAGGGGGAGAUGAGGGGGCUCCUCAUCUCAACGACUAAAACACAACGUCAGUCUGACACAGAGAACCAUGUAACACAUUCAACAGUCCCCUCCAGGCAUCGUGACUCCCCAGGAACAGUUUCAUUUCCAAGAAGGUCUUAUUUGGGGCCAUCCCCAUAUGGAUCCUGCUCCUCAAGAGCCACCCCCCUCCACUGGGUGGUCUUCUGAACAGAUGACCUCCUUCCUGUCCUCAGGCUGACUAAAGCUGCACCGUUUGCAUCUGUGAAGGCCCCUCAUUCAGGAAACCACUGGACUACAAAGACAUGACUUCAGAGACGUUGAAUAAACCUGUACACAUUUUGGAGACGCCAAGCAUAAUCCAUCACCAAUGUGGGACGCCACUGAAGAAUGUACAUAAUUUACGUCUCUGGAGACAUUGGUUGUUCUGUUAUGGGUGCCCUGGCAGGAGAGCUGGGGGUGGAUGAUGGAAUGUUAUUUGGCAUGAGGUUUUUACCCUGCAUGAUUGUUUGGCCUUUUAUGGCUCAGUGGUGUGUGUGUGUGUGUUUGGGUUUGACAUGAGAUGGAAGAUUUUUGAGCAUCGCUAGGGUUCUACUGUGUGUGUGUCUCCGACACACACCUGGCAUGGGGUUCUACGUGUGUUUGGUUCCACCUGGCAUGGGGAGCUAUGUGCCUGUCCUUGGUUCUAUGUGUGUGUGUCCGGCUUGCUUUGACAGUGAUAAUGUUCAUACGGGGGUCUGUGUGAUUGGCUUGGGAUAUUGGCAUGGUCAACUAAAUCAUACCUGAUGGACGGCCACACGUUUACUUAAGGGCCUCCAGUAGACAUGAAGAGCCCUGAGCGACGCUCCAGAGCGAUAUCCAACACACAGGAAGGAAGGAAGGAAGGAAGGAAGGAGAGUACCCAACUCGAGUCUAAAAGGAUGCAAGCGGCGUGUUCAGAUCAGUGACUUCAAACUAGGACUACACCAAUCAGGAUCAAUGGAGGAUGGACACCAAAAGGAAUUCCACAAGGAGAGUCUGACGUUGGAAAGGGAUCUAAAUAGAUAUUCAAGAUGACCUUCAGACCUGUAAUGAGACGGCUUUUCCUACCUGGCUGGAUUGAUGGAGAGCCCUGUGGAUCUUGUCUUGCUUUCAGUUGCACAUCUUCUCAGGCUGUACUGUAUUUGUUUCGGACAGGACUAGCUGAACGAUUGGUUCCCUUAAAUCAGAACCAAUCCGGGAACUCCAGCUAGUGCGCUCUUCGAGCUGAAGUUGUGCUCUUCAGCUGAGGAGGUAAGGAAACCUUCACUGGGGCUUCAAGGUGGAAAGAGGAGAAUGUUUCAUAGUGUUCCAUGGUACUCUGAUGAAGACCGUUGUUGUGUUCCACUGGCUGAGAGGAAGAACCCACACAUCUUCAUCUUGGCCUUUCUCCUCUGAGAAUCCUGGCGCCAUCUUGAAGGAUAUUCCAGCUCAUGUAACUGAUGUCACGACAGAUUCUCAAACACUUGGUUUCUCCUGAGGGGCGUGUCUAAAGAACUGAAGACUUCAGACGGCACUGUAUCCCAGCAUGCAUCUCUGCUCACUCAGACCACACCCCCAUGAGUAGGAUGCAACACUCUAGUGAUGGAGAUGUAGAGUUUUAUAAGUUUACCGCUCCGAGGGAGCAGACUAAGGUGGUUAGAACACAAUGGAAUGUCAAGUGUGUAAAUCUUUAAACCAUGAACGUGGUUGGAUAUUUCAGGAAUUGGGCUUCUUUUUAUCAUGGGCAGUCCUUUCACUCAGAUGCCCACUUCUCACUGGAGCUGUAGAUGUGUUGGCAUGAUUUGCUGUUGGUGAUGAGGCGGUCAGGGUGACGUAGCAGGGCUAGGGUCGGCUCUCUGUGAGCUCAACGUUUAGAUUUGCUCUGUAUGGUUUGUACCCUGAAUAAUCUAGAUAAUUGUAAAAUUUAGACAUGUUUGGUAUUGAAUGAUUCCAGGAUUUUAGGUUUAAAGUUGUUGUGGGACGUACAUGGUAGUUUGGUUCUUCGUAUGGUUUUGAGUGAUAUAACUUGUACACACUGGGUGCAUAAUAAUAUAAAGGUACACUGAAUAGUAAUGACCAACAGCAACAAACAGAUCUCCUCAAGGUAAGUCUGUUGGCUGUGUUUUAAUGAAGACCAUCGCUGGACUACAGGAUCUUCCUCCGUUCAGCUCAAGGUGAGGCGCUGGUUCUGUUUUUUCUUUGGUUGGUUCCGGCCGGAAUGUUCGGAUUCCAGUCGGACGGUUUGUACUUCCCGCCGUGGAAGGUUCUGAGUGCGGUCACUUGAUUUAGUCCCAAUGGUUAGCAUAGAACGUUGUCUUGACAACCAUAAGAAACCACCUGGCAGUUGGGAAUCUGGUGGAACGUUCUGUAUUGUAUUUGCGUAACCUCGAGCCGUUGCCAACGGAAACAAUUUUUCAGUCGGUUUCCAUAGGGAAUUGUUGCCCCCUAUCUUAAACAACUUAAGUUUGAUAUUAAAUACAUACUGACAAUAACGUCGUACAAUAUGUUGAUCAUUUCCGAUGGUUGCACCGUACUUUUAACCACGUUGACGGGACUCUUGCUGCGUACAAAACGGCGUUCUACUUGCGGCCCCAUUUUUGACAUCAGUGAAGGCUGAAAAUCAUUUCAAGGUGGAAGACAAUUUGACAUUUCUUCAACGGAACCCAGCACCUGAAUAUGGCUGAGUAAAUUUUAUUUAAUAUCGAUACUGCUUAGUGUUCUUUGUUACUUCAGCUUUUGUAAGUUCUAAAUAUCUGCUGUCAUUAAUUGCCACAGAAGUUAAACCCUACCCAAUGGAAUGACGUUAAACAACGACUUUGGUGCAGAGUUAGCAACUGGAUAAUAUCAAAGCUAAAAUAAUGUCCGUCAUUCCCACAUGUUACAGUAGAAGGUACUCUAUAACUGUACAAGGUUAAAAAGGUAACAUGUAGUUUGUCCCAAGGUAUCUGCCUCCUCACCCAGAGCAAGACCUCCACCUCCUAACCCAGAACCAGACCUCCACCUCCUGUCAGAAGUCCUCCAGAACAGCUGAAAUGCGAGGCGGAGAGGCUGGGGUCCGGAGGCUUGUGGUGCCAGGGUGGACCGGAGACUGAGGCUGGAGACCAGGGGCCCACAGCACCGGAACAGAGGACCAGGAAUCCAUGGCUGAAGGAGCUGAUGGAGGAGCCGUGCUGAAGGAACUGGCUGGUGGAGGAGCUGGUGGAGGCUCUGCCUGGUGAAGGACCUGCCUGGUGAAGGACGUCUGUCGUUGGACCAGGACUUUGUCAGGAGAGCUGAUGGAGGAGCUGAGACGCUGGAGGACGACUAGGAAUUGACCAACAAGGAUUCCUCAACGUGUUUCUGGAGCGGAGGCGAGCUGGUAGGGGAGCCGUGAAUCUGGAGGAUGAACAUCACUCUACCAUCAAGGAUUAUGUUGGGGCCAGACUCGCGCUGUUUGUUCCAGACCAGGACUCUGGCUGAGGAGAGCUGAUGGAGGAGCCAAGACUCUGGAGGACGACAUCACUCCACCAACCAGGAUCCUCAGACAAAUUACGUUUGUAACCAGACCAGGAAUCUGGGGGAUUGAUGGAGAAGCCGUACAUCUGGAUGGCAAAUCCUGAGGACCACCAGGACGCUACCAUCAAGGAUUCCUCAUAAGUUUGCAUUAUCUGGACAUAGUGGACCAGGGGCAGACACACCUGAGCUGAACCCGCCCUGAUCCUGACAUCCUGCUGGUCCCGUCUCCUCAGUUCAUCUGAGCCUCGUCCUCCAGAAAACCUGCUGAGCUCAGCAGUCUGAGGCUGAUGGAUCAAUGACCUCCAGUGGGAGUCUUCUUCUUGACCCCACAUGUAACCGUGUGCUUCCACACACCUUUCCCUCAAGUCUGUCACUAACCUCACUACUUCACUACUCUCUACUGCUUCCUCUUUUCUUCCUUCUCUGUGGUUCAAACCUUUACACUGAAGGCGCGUCUUCCUGCCCUCAGAGGGUUUAGCGUUAGGGUUGAGAGUCAGGGUUUAGAGUCAGGGACAGAGCUGGUCAGGGAGGACUGCUUUUACACAAACCUCUUCACUUGCUUUCGGAAUGGUGGUGACAUUUUGAAAAGAUUCAUUUGGGAAAAUGUUUUCCUCUGCUUUUCUUUACAAAAUUGUAUUAAACUUCUGUCAAGUGUUUUUGUUCAUAUUAAAAUCCCACAUUGACUUCUACAUGUUUGGUACGGUUCAUUUAAUUGUCCUUUAACUUGGUUAAUGUCAAGCUAAACUCCUGCAAUACAUUUAUUAUACAUGAUUGUUAUUCAGCAAUGCUCACAUAAUCCAUUUUGUAAAAGUAUGAAACCUCCAUAUUACUACUAAAUUCAAGCCUAUUCAUGUAUUUAACAAUGUACAAACUGUCCCG